AAACACAGAUAGAAUCAAACCAGCUCUAUCCGCCUGGGAACUACGGACACUAGUCUAAAAACCAAAGGAAUUGGCGGUGCUUUAAACCCAACUAGAGGAGCCUGUCCUACAACCGAUAACCCCCGUUAAACCUCACCCUCCCUCGCUCAUCCAUCUAUAUACCGCCGCCGCCAGCUUACCCUGAGAAGGGCAGAUAGUUACCGGAAUUGGAAAACCCCAAGACGUCAGGUCGAGGUGUAGUUUAUGGGAGGGGAAGAGAUGGGCUACAUUUGCUAAAUAAGCAAAAACGGAUCUUUUACUGAAAUAUAAAAGUGAAGGAGGAUUUAGUAGUAAGCAGGGAACAUAGUGCCCU
rnacentral:rRNA from 1 species